GAAUUAUCAGGGACGCAACAAAU
rnacentral:sRNA from 1 species